rnacentral:tRNA from 1 species
GGCUGGUGGUCUAAGGGUAUGAUUCUCGCUUUGGGUGUGAGAGGUCCCGGGUUCAAAUCCCGGAUGAGCCC